rnacentral:rRNA from 1 species
GACGAACGCUGGCGGCGUGCUUAACACAUGCAGGUCGAACGGGCCUUGUCCCCUUUUUUUUGGGGGUGGGGUUAGUGGCGCACGGGUGAGUAACACGUGAGUAACCUGCCCCUCACUUCUGGAUCACCGCUUGAAAGGGUGGCUAAUACGGGGUGUUCUGGCCUGCUCGCAUGGGUGGGUUUGGAAAGAUUCGACCGGUUUUGGUUGUUUUGGUGGGGGAUGGGCUCGCGGCCUAUCAGCUUGUUGGUGGGGUGAUGGCCUGCCAAGGCAACGACGGGUAGCCGACGUCAGGGGGUGAGCGGCGGCGCUGGAGCUGAGACGCGGUCCAGACGCCUACAGGAGGCAGCAGGAGGGAAUCGUCCGCGAGGGGCGAAAGCCGGGUGGAGCAACGCCGCGGGAGUGAUGAAGGGUUUGGGUUCGUGGAGCUCUGUUAUUAGGGAAGAGCAAAUGUGUAAGUAACUAUGCACGUCGUGACGGUACGUAAUCAGAAAGCCACGGCUAACUACGUG